rnacentral:misc_RNA from 1 species
GCGAGUUGCAAAACUCCCAAACCAUUGCGAACCUACCUAUCGUUGCCUCGCCGCCGGCCUCGCGCCAGCGGCGGCGGCCCCCCAAACUCUUGUUUUUAUAGGCCUCUCUGAGUACACUUAUAACAAGUCA